rnacentral:rRNA from 1 species
CCUACGGGAGGCUGCAGUGGGGAAUAUUGGACAAUGGGGGCAACCCUGAUCCAGCCAUGCCGCGUGUGUGAAGAAGGCCCUCGGGUUGUAAAGCACUUUCAGUGAGGAAGAACGCCUGGUGGUUAAUACCCAUCAGGAAAGACAUCACUCACAGAAGAAGCACCGGCUAACUCCGUGCCAGCAGCCGCGGUAAUACGGAGGGUGCGAGCGUUAAUCGGAAUUACUGGGCGUAAAGCGCGCGUAGGUGGCUUGAUAAGCCGGUUGUGAAAGCCCCGGGCGCAACCUGGGAACGGCAUCCGGAACUGUCAAGCUAGAGUGCAGGAGAGGAAGGUAGAAGUCCCGGUGUAGCGGUGAAAUGCGUAGAGAUCGGGAGGAAUACCAGUGGCGAAGGCGGCCUUCUGGACUGACACUGACACUGAGGUGCGAAAGCGUGGGUAGCAAACAGGAUUAGAUACCCGAGUAGUC